rnacentral:rRNA from 1 species
UACAGAGGUCCCAAGCGUUUGUUCGGAUUCAUUGGGCGUAAAGGGUGCGUAGGUGGCGCCAUAAGUCAGGUGUGAAAUUUCGGAGCUUAACUCCGAAACUGCAUUUGAUACUGUGGUGCUUGAGGACUGGAGAGGAGACUGGAAUUUACGGUGUAGCAGUGAAAUGCGUAGAGAUCGUAAGGAAGACCAGUGGCGAAGGCGGGUCUCUGGACAGUUCCUGACACUGAGGCACGAAGGCCAGGGGAGCAAACGGG